ACACACACACACACACACACACACACACACACACACACACACACACACACACACACACACACACACACACACACACACACAGAAACACAGCCCACCCCAGUCGUUCUCAUUGUUUUUAUUGUUUAUUUAUUUAUAUACAAAACACAAUUAAGCUUUUUCAUUAUCAAACAGAGCGGUUCUUAUAUCAAACAUACAGUAUGUGAAUUGAAUGCUUUUUAUCCUACAGGAUUCACCAGAGAACUUUUUUAAAAACUUUUUAGCAUUGUCAACUGUGCUUGGAGAUCCUCUGAGGUGUUGGUUACACGUACGUGAAUAUUUUUAAAAGCGGAUAUGGCUUUAAUUAUCUUAUUUAAUUAUCCGUUUACGUACAAACACAGCCAGGCCACGCCCUCCUAGUGAUGCAACACCUUUAGCGUUCUAGAAAAAUCGGGGAACUCCUCCCACUUUAUCAGGAAGCAAACCACCAGUAGCAAACCAAGGGUGGCGGGUCAACCAUACAUUAAAAGUAAGCAACGGGAGCUUGGUGUCGCGGACUUUUCUUUCAAUUUUUUCAUGGUAUUUUUGCUGGUCCUGCACCCAAAUGUUUUGAGACGGAUGUGCGUGUUUUUUUCUCUCUAACGGCGGGUCAACCAUGCCGUUUGGGAAAUGUUAAUUGUUAUGCUCUUGGUCAGACCAAGUCUCGAAGAGAUUUGAAAAAAAUGAUAAUCAGACCAGUAGGAACAUGACACGAGGAUACAAGCUAACAUGACACGAGGAUACAAGCUAACAUGACACGAGGAUACAAGUGAACAACUCCAUUUGUGAGUGACAGGUGCGUUUUAGCCCCCUAAAUGACAUAACAUUAUUUAAAACCAGAGUUUUGAAAUGCGCUUUGUAAAACUCCAAAUGCCAAAACCAAUUUGUUUUUUAUUUAAAAAUCCAUAUGCGUGUCAACAGCUUUUAAUGUUUGGUGUUUUUGUGUUUUGUGUGUUACUUCCUGUUUGAACAUGUUUUGUUGUGAUGCGUGUUCCUAUGCGAGGUGUAUAUUGGCUAUUUGAAUGUGCUGUGAUGCGUGUUCCUAUGCGAGGUGUAUAUUGGCUAUUUGAAUGUGCUGUGAUGCGGGUUCCUAUUUUCUCAAGGUGAAACGCUCUAGUCUUGCUAGGACGCGUAACACCAUUUUUUUUUGCGGAUUUCACCGAGGAGUACCCAGUUAUUGAUUACACUCAGAACUAGUUAUUGGAUACUCAAAAAAAGGGCGUUACUCGUCAAGGCUAGCAGGGCUAAGACACUUCGCUGUGAGAAAUACCCAAAGUGUGUAUGACAUAUUCUACUGUACGCUCUGAGGUGUGCAUGACAUAUUCUACGCUCUGAGGUGUGUAUGACAUAUUCUACACUCUGAGGUGAGUAUGCUUGUGUAUAUAAGUCCUACCACAUGAGGGCAGCAUUGAGGCCGAGUUGUGCCUUCUCUGACGCCUGAUGUUUAUAUCAGUAUACAACAUGGCUUCAACACCACUGUUUAUAGCCGUCUACAUCGUUUGUACAUUGAACAAAGAGUUUCAUAAUAAACAGACAGACAUUUGUAUCAAUUGUA